rnacentral:rRNA from 2 species
GGGACACGUGGUAUCCUGUCUGAAUAUGGGGGGACCAUCCUCCAAGGCUAAAUACUCCUGACUGACCGAUAGUGAACCAGUACCGUGAGGGAAAGGCGAAAAGAACCCCGGCGAGGGGAGUGAAAAAGAACCUGAAACCGUGUACGUACAAGCAGUGGGAGCCUCUUUAUGGGGUGACUGCGUACCUUUUGUAUAAUGGGUCAGCGACUUAUAUUCUGUAGCAAGGUUAACCGUAUAGGGGAGCCGAAGGGAAACCGAGUCUUAACUGGGCGUUAAGUUGCAGGGUAUAGACCCGAAACCCGGUGAUCUAGCCAUGGGCAGGUUGAAGGUUGGGUAACACUAACUGGAGGACCGAACCGACUAAUGUUGAAAAAUUAGCGGAUGACCUGUGGCUGGGGGUGAAAGGCCAAUCAAACCGGGAGAUAGCUGGUUCUCCCCGAAAGCUAUUUAGGUAGCGCCUCGUGAACUCAUCUUCGGGGGUAGAGCACUGUUUCGGCUAGGGGGCCAUCCCGGCUUACCAACCCGAUGCAAACUACGAAUACCGAAGAAUGUUAUCACGGGAGACACACGGCGGGUGCUAACGUCCGUCGUGAAGAGGGAAACAACCCAGACCGCCAGCUAAGGUCCCAAAGUCAUGGUUAAGUGGGAAACGAUGUGGGAAGGCACAGACAGCCAGGAUGUUGGCUUAGAAGCAGCCAUCAUUUAAAGAAAGCGUAAUAGCUCACUGGUCGAGUCGGCCUGCGCGGAAGAUGUAACGGGGCUAAACCAUGCAC